UACGUAGGGGGCAAGCGUUGUCCGGAUUUAUUGGGCGUAAAGAGCUCGUAGGCGGCUCGGUAAGUCGGAUGUGAAACCUCCAGGCUCAACCUGGAGACGCCAUCUGAUACUGCCGUGGCUUGAGUCCGGUAGAGGAGCAGGGAAUUCCUGGUGUAGCGGUGAAAUGCGCAGAUAUCAGGAAGAACACCCGUGGCGAAGGCGGCUCUCUGGGACGGUACUGACGCUGAGACGCGAAAGCGUGGGGAGCAAAAGGG
rnacentral:rRNA from 1 species